AUUGAACGCUGGCGGCAGGCCUAACACAUGCAAGUCGAGCGAGCGGCGGACGGGUGAGUAAUGUCUGGGAAACUGCCUGAUGGAGGGGGAUAACUACUGGAAACGGUAGCUAAUACCGCAUACCAUCAGAUGUGCCCAGAUGCGAUUAGCUAGAAGGUGGGGUAACGGCUCACCUAGGCGACGAUCCCUAGCUGGUCUGAGAGGAUGACCGGCUAGACUGGAACUAAGACACGGCCCAGACUCCAAAGGAAGGCUGAAGUGGGGAAUAUGGCACAAGGGGAGAAAGCCUGAUGCAGCCAUGGAGCGUGAAUGAAGACGACCCUUGGGUAGUAAAGUACUUUCAGCAGGGAGGCGUUUACUGCAGAAGCAGCACCGGCUAACUCCGUGCCAGCAGCCCCGGUAAUCC
rnacentral:rRNA from 1 species